rnacentral:rRNA from 1 species
ACGAACGCUGGCGGCGUGCUUAACACAUGCAAGUCGAACGGAAAGGCCUGCUUUCCCUUGUGGAUUGCGGGUACUCGAGUGGCGAACGGGUGAGUAACACGUGAGUGAUCUGCCCCCAACUUGGGUAUAAGCCUGGGAAACUGGGUCUAAUUCCCGAUAGGACUGCAGGGGGGUGCCUGUGGUGGAAAACGAUUUUCUAGUGGUUGGGGAUGAGCUCGCGGCCUAUCAGCUUGUUGGUGGGGUAAUGGCCUACCAAGGCGGCGACGGGUAGCCGGCCUGAGAGGGUGGACGGCCACAUUGGGACUGAGAUACGGCCCAGACUCCUACGGGAGGCAGCAGUGGGGAAUAUUGCACAAUGGGCGGAAGCCUGAUGCAGCGACGCCGCGUGGGGGAUGACGGCCUUCGGGUUGUAAACUCCUUUCGACCGCGAGGAAGCCACCUGGUUGGAAGGGUGGUGACGGUAGUGGUAGAAGAAGCACCGGCUAACUACGUG